GAUGAACGCUAGCGGGAGGCCUAACACAUGCAAGCCGAGCGGUAGAGUUUCUUCGGAAACUUGAGAGCGGCGCACGGGUGCGUAACACGUGUGCAACCUACCUUUAUCUGGGGGAUAGCCUUUCGAAAGGAGGAUUAAUACCCCAUAAUAUAAUGAUUGGCAUCAAUUAUUAUUGAAAACUCCGGUGGAUAGAGAUGGGCACGCGCAAGAUUAGAUAGUUGGUGAGGUAACGGCUCACCAAGUCAAUGAUCUUUAGGGGUCCUGAGAGGGAGAUCCCCCACACUGGUACUGAGACGCGGACCAGACUCCUACGGGAGGCAGCAGUGAGGAAUAUUGGACAAUGGGUGAGAGCCUGAUCCAGCCAUCCCGCGUGAAGGAUGACGGUCCUAUGGAUUGUAAACUUCUUUUGUACAGGGAUAAACCUACCCUCGUGAGGGUAGCUGAAGGUACUGUACGAAUAAGCACCGGCUAACUCCGUG
rnacentral:rRNA from 1 species